rnacentral:rRNA from 1 species
GACGAACGCUGGCGGCGUGCUUAACACAUGCAAGUCGAACGCUGAAGCUCAGCUUGCUGGGUGGAUGAGUGGCGAACGGGUGAGUAACACGUGAGUAACCUGCCCUCUUCUUUGGGAUAACGCCCGGAAACGGGUGCUAAUACUGGAUAUUCACUGAUUCUCGCAUGGGGGUUGGUGGAAAGGUUUCUUCUGGUGGGGGAUGGGCUCGCGGGCUAUCAGCUUGUUGGUGGGGUGAUGGCCUACCAAGGCUUUGACGGGUAGCCGGCCUGAGUGGGUGACCGGUCACAGUGGGACUGAGAUACGGGACAGACUUCUACGGGAGGCAGCAGUGGGGAAUAUUGCACGAUGAGCGAGAGCCUGGUGCAGCGACGCGGCGUGAGGGAUGGAGGCCUUGGGGGUGUAAACCUCUGUCGCUCAUGGUCAAGCCGCAGCUUUGGGUUGUGGUGAGGGUAGUGGGUAAAGAAGCGCCGGCUAACUACGUG